rfam:Ixodes scapularis strain Wikel colony gcontig_1108378355288, whole genome shotgun sequence.
CCCUGGUUAGCUCAGUUGGUAGAGCGCUCCACUUGUAAUGGAGAGGUCUCGGGUUUGAUACCCGGACCAGGCG